rnacentral:rRNA from 1 species
CCUACGGGAGGCUGCAGUGAGGAAUAUUGGUCAAUGGGAGGAAUCCUGAACCAGCCAUGCCGCGUGCAGGACGACGGCUCUACGAGUUGUAAACUGCUUUUGUACCGGGGUAAAAUGCUCUACGAGUAGGGUUUUGAAAGUACGGUACGAAUAAGGAUCGGCUAACUCCGUGCCAGCAGCCGCGGUAAUACGGAGGAUCCGAGCGUUAUCCGGAUUUAUUGGGUUUAAAGGGUGCGUAGGUGGUUUUAUAAGUCAGCGGUGAAAUACCGAGGCUCAACCUCGGGGAUGCGUUGAAUCUGGCUGUCUUGAGAGGUCUAGAGGUAUGAGGAAUGUGUAGUGUAGCGGUGAAAUGCUUAGAUAUUGCGCAGAACCACGAUUGCGAGGGCAGCAUACCGGCGGCGAUAUGACGCUGAGGCACGAAAGCGUGGGUAUCGAACAGGAUUAGAUACCCGAGUAGUC